GGGGGAUCCGAGAGCGCCGAAACCGGUCUUGAGGACGAAGCUGAAGGGGGAGGAGCGGUCGUUGGGGCGGUAGGAGAGGCGGAGGGAGGGGCCGGAGUCGAAGGCGGUGGCGAGGUCGAGGCGGAGCUCCUUUGCGUCGCCGGCGGAGACGCCGGAGAGGAAGGGGAGGCCGAGGAUGCUGAUGGGGAUCUUGGCGCGGGCG
rnacentral:misc_RNA from 1 species